UACGAAGGGGGCUAGCGUUGUUCGGAAUCACUGGGCGUAAAGCGCAUGCAGGCGGAUCGCUAAGUCGGGGGUGAAAUCCCGAGGCUCAACCCCGGAACUGCCUUUGAUACUGAUAGUCUCGAGUCCGGAAGAGGUGAGUGGAAUUCCGAGUGUAGAGGUGAAAUUCGUAGAUAUUCGGAGGAACACCAGUGGCGAAGGCGGCUCACUGGUCCGGUACUGACGCUGAGGUGCGAAAGCGUGGGGAGCGAACAGG
rnacentral:rRNA from 1 species